UACGUAGGGUGCAAGCGUUAAUCGGAAUUACUGGGCGUAAAGCGUGCGCAGGCGGUUUUGUAAGUCUGACGUGAAAUCCCCGGGCUCAACCUGGGAAUUGCGUUGGAGACUGCAAGGCUGGAGUCCGGCAGAGGGGGGUAGAAUUCCACGUGUAGCAGUGAAAUGCGUAGAGAUGUGGAGGAACACCGAUGGCGAAGGCAGCCCCCUGGGUCAAGACUGACGCUCAUGCACGAAAGCGUGGGGAGCAAACAGG
rnacentral:rRNA from 1 species